rnacentral:rRNA from 1 species
CCUACGGGCUGCACCAGUAGGGAAUCUUCCGCAAUGGACAAAAGUCUGACGGAGCAACGCCGCGUGAGUGAUGAAGGCUUUCGGGUCAUAAAACUCUGUCGUUAGGGAAGAACAAGUGCUAGUUGAAUAAGCUGGCACCUUGACGGUACCUAACCAGAAAGCCACGGCUAACUACGUGCCAGCAGCCGCGGUAAUACGUAGGUGGCAAGCGUUAUCCGGAAUUAUUGGGCGUAAAGCGCGCGCAGGUGGUUUCUUAAGUCUGAUGUGAAAGCCCACGGCUCAACCGUGGAGGGUCAUUGGAAACUGGGAGACUUGAGUGCAGAAGAGGAAAGUGGAAUUCCAUGUGUAGCGGUGAAAUGCGUAGAGAUAUGGAGGAACACCAGUGGCGUAGGCGACUUUCUGGUCUGUAACUGACACUGAGGCGCGAAAGCGUGGGGAGCGAACAGGAUUAGAUACCCCUGUAGUC